rnacentral:rRNA from 1 species
AGCUCCAGUAGCGUAUAUUAAAGUUGUUGCAGUUAAAAAGCUCGUAGUUGGAUCUCGGGUUGUCGGCUGCGGUUCAGGUUCAUGCCUGCUUACUGCUGUCGAUACCUAACCGGCGGGACGCUGUGGGUGCCCUUGACUGGGUCGCCUACUGCACCCGCUCAAUUUACUUUGAAAAAAUUAGAGUGUUCAAGGCAGGCUCACACGCCUGAAUAAUGGUGCAUGGAAUAAUAGAAUAGGAUCUCGGUUCUAUUUUGUUGGUUUUCGGAACUUGAGAUAAUGAUUAAGAGGGACAGACGGGGGCAUUCGUAUUGCGGUGUUAGAGGUGAAAUUCUUGGAUCGCCGCAAGACGAACUACUGCGAAAGCAUUUGCCAAGAAUGUUUUCAUUAAUCAAGAACGAAA